AAAAUGCACGCGACUUCUCGGGGCACGCCAAACUGAAACGAACAGGUCAAUGAAUUAUCUUUUGGAAAUGAAACAUUUCCUUUUCCCGUUCCAAAGCAACCGUCCAGAUUCUUCACUUCCUCUCCACCCUUCACAAUCCUUUCGAAGAAACAAAUCGUUCUAUCCGGUCACCUACACAUCUUCCUCGCCGGCGUAAGUGAAAGAGUUCCGAUUCUCUCGAGCCACAAACAACUCUAGCGUGUCUUGGUCGAGACCCCAGCCAGCUUCCCUUCUAAAACCCUCCGUUGCCAGACAAUGCGCAGAUCUGUUCGCCGAACGUGAAACUUAGAUAAUGAAUCACCCUCCACCAUCACCUCCCUCAACCCCAGAUCCCUCCCCACUUUGAGCGGUUGGAGGCAUGCAAGAGCUUCGGCCGCGAAAGGUGAAGAUAUUGAUGUGGUAGCCUGGAAAGCGGCAUCAAAUUUGAUUUUUAUAAAAGGGACUUCCGGUGGCCUGCACCUCUCGCACCCCACCUUGGUGACAGACCAAAGAGACCAAACUGCACAAACAAUCUUUCGACAGAUGCCAGGUUUCAAUUGCAAACGGACAGUUGCGAAAACCAUCCUCCAACGUCUCCUCACUUCUCAAGCAUUUUGGGCAAGUCGCUGCUCCAACCAAUCUUUUAUUGUACGAAUUAUAGGAAUUUGGAAUUAGAUUAUUGAAAAUACGCCAGAAAAUGAUUUUGACCUUUUCUGGCAAAUUAAGCUUCCAUAAUUUGUUGUAAUAAGGUAUAUAGGAAUUGUCCCCUUCUAUUGAAUUUGCAUACUCGAGGCCUUGUUACCUAUACCCACUCCGAACGAUAUAUUCUCCUGAGGGCUCUGCUUGCCAAAUGACCGCAUCUUCCUGGGCCUUCGAAGCAAGGGGAGUACACAGAAUUUUCCUAGCAACCCCUAAAUCGAAAAAAUUGGUAAAAAAAGACAGAAAUGGCAAACCAGCUUGGAGUUCUUAAUGCAUUGGAUGCAGCAAAGACACAAUGGUACCAUUUCACAGCAAUUGUGAUUGCUGGAAUGGGUUUCUUCACUGACGCAUAUGACCUUUUUAGCACCUCUCUUAUCACAAAAUUACUCGGUCGUAUUUACUAUUUCGAUGCACUUUUUAAAAAGCCUGAACUUUGUCUCCUUGUAUUGCAACUGUUGUUAAUGGUGUGGCCUUUUGUGGAACUUUAGCUUGGCAGCUUUUCUUUGGUUGGCUCGGUGAUAAAUUAGGCCGAAAACGAGUUUAUGGACUCACCUUGAUGCUUAUGGUGAUCUGUUCCAUUGCCUCUGGACUUUCCUUCGGAAAGUCUUCAGAUGGUGUAACGGCAACCCUUUGCUUUUUCAGGUUUUGGCUUGGUUUUCACAUGCUGUAGUCAUUGCAGUUAUCUUAUUACAUAAAUUUGUCGACAACCGCUUGAUUUUAAGUCAUAGGUUGGUGAAGAAGACAUACUUGAACCCUCAA